UUUCGCAAUGCCCGAAAGGGUGACGAAGCGACGCCGCGUGCGGGAAGAAGGCCUUCGGGUUGUAAACCGCUGUCGGGAGUUAAGAAAUGUAAGGAUGUUAAUAGCAUCUUUGCUUGACUAAGGCUCCGGAGGAAGCCACGGCUAACUCUGUGCCAGCAGCCGCGGUAAUACAGAGGCGGCAAGCGUUGUUCGGAAUUAUUGGGCGUAAAGAGCACGUAGGCGGCUAUGUAAGUCGGUUGUGAAAGCCUUCCGCUCAACGGGAGAACAGCAUCCGAUACUGCAUGGCUUGAGUGCGGGAGGGGAGAGUGGAACUUCUGGUGGAGCGGUGAAAUGCGUAGAUAUCAGAAGGAACGCCGGCGGCGAAAGCGGCUCUCUGGCCCAUAACUGACGCUGAGUGUGCGAAAGCUAGGGGAGCAAACGGGAUUAGAUACCCCGGUAGUCCUAGCCGUAAACGAUGGGCACUAAGUAGAGGGGUUUUA
rnacentral:rRNA from 3 species